UGGGAAUGUGGCAUAGCCACGUAUUUUUUUUUUUUAGGUGGCAUGAUUGGUAGAAUUUCGUUAAGGGGAGGGAUAUUUUUGAACCAAAUAUUUAACAGAAGGGUAUUUUUGAGCCAAAAAACUAACAAGAGAUAUUUUUGAUCCAUUUCAGAUAGUUCAGGGGUAUUUUUGAUCUUUUUUCGAAUUUCAUUAGAGGGAGGGGUAUUUUUGAG
rnacentral:lncRNA from 1 species